CGUUGGCGCUCACAAAAUCAAAUGUUUAUAUUGUGGGUCACAACACAAAGCUGCCCUUUUUUCUUCAUUAAAGACAGACAAACAAAUCUCUUCUUCUUCAUCCUUAAAAAUACCCAUUCUCUUUCCUUCUCUCUCUAAAUACUCCUCCCUCUCUCUCUCUCUCUCUCUCUCAACACUCCUCUCUCUCUCUCUUUCUCUGAUUCUGUUUGAAAAGCUUGCCGCAUUGUUCUUAUCUUGAGAAUUCCGUGAGUAUUGAAUUUAUUUCCUUAAGAUCCACGCUUAAAUUGAAGGAAACGCUGUGUUUCAUGAUCAUUUUCUUUUAUGUAAAUUGGAUACUAUCAUUUUAGAAAUGGCAGGUUUUACCAAAUGUUUUGUCGCUCUGUUACUAACUUUCCUUUCUCUUUUUCUUUAGAAACUUUUGGUGCUGUUUUUUUUUUUUAUAUAUUAGAGGCUAUUUUUCUUUCUUUUUCUUCUUAGAUUUUGUUGCGAUUGAAUUAAUCUCUUUAUUUUGAGACGAGUGUAUCGUUGCUUAAUCUGGAUCUGUUGUUACUGUUUAUCAAAAUUGUAAUUUAUUAUGACAAUAGACAACAAAGGAGGCUUUUCAUUUUCAAAAAAAUGGGUGGAAAAUCAGGAUGUAUAUAUUAAAGUAAAUCACUUGAUUUUGUAGUUUCCUUUUGUAACUUCAUUAACUGAUCUUUUGAGUACUGGCCCGGGUGCAGACGGCACAGAGAGACUUUACAAUUAAGAUUCUUGAUUAGAGAUUUAUAAUGAAAAUGUCAGGGAUCUGCUGAAUUCAGAAUCAGGUCGAAUUCUAGAUGACCCAGAGGCAUACGCAUUUCUUUCUUUCUUUCUUUUUUCUGAAAGAGUAGAUUUUCUGUUAGGUGUUAUCUCAACUGCUGGUUAUUUUGUGGUUCUCAUAUGAAGAA
rnacentral:lncRNA from 1 species